AUGUGUCCACUUAGAUUCAUAUUGAUCUUCUUCUCUGCCGUGCUGGCCGCUUAUUUGGCGUGGACCACCAUGAGCUCCACCACUCUGGAGAUUGAUUUCGCUGCUCGCAACCAUAACAAUAAAUCCACCUCAGAUAAAGAUAAUUCUAGUAUCAUAAAGAUGAUUAAGAAUGGAUUAUGGGUAUUCGUUGACAUGGCCAGUGGAAGGUAUCUUUGGAAAUAUUUGAAGCCAGCAAAUCAUCAUGUCCAACUACAGAGCUCUUAA